AUACGGGGCCGUUAUAUUCAUGU
rnacentral:miRNA from 1 species